rnacentral:lncRNA from 1 species
GGGCGGGGAAGGAAACGUGAUGAUUGCGCAAGCGCAGAAAAUGGGCCCUCUUGGCCGUCGGGACUUGUACUGUUGGUGACUCCGUCUCCUUAGACGGUGGAGCCUGCGUGACCCAGAAAGGCCGCCUCGGGACCCAGACCAGGAUUUCCAUCAGCUCCCCUGGCUCGCAGGCCUUCUGACUUCUGACUCACCAUCAGCUCUCCUGGAUCCAGCUUGCCAAUGGCAGAUCGUGGGACUCCUUGCCCUCUAAUCGCAUGAAACAAUGCCCACAAGAGAAAAUAAAAGCAGUCAGAGGAGAAUGGAGAAUUUCCCCUAUUCCCCAGCAUGUGGAGCCAUGGACUCUGCCUUCUCCCAGUCAAGAUGGUACAGAAUCUCAUAUUCCCAGCAUUUCUCAUCACAGAAUUCCCCUUUCUGUCCUGCUAGCAAAGGCCAUGCUGCCACUCAGCGCCGGACCCCUUCUCCUCUCGCUUACUCAGUGGCACUGUUGGAGCUACCCUCCCCUCUC